rnacentral:rRNA from 1 species
AGAGUUUGAUCAUGGCUCAGGACGAACGCUGGCGGCGUGCUUAACACAUGCAAGUCGAACGAUUUAGUCGUCGGUCAUCAGACGUCAGACGUCAGGGGAACGAAUGGAACUGAAGAAAGAACUCGCUUUAGCGAAAAUCUAUUCCGAAACCCUUACGACCGAUGUCCGAUGACUGACGACCGAAUAGUGGCGGACGGGUGAGUAACGCGUGGGCAACCUACCCAUAAGAGGGGGAUAACAGCUGGAAACGGCUGCUAAUACCGCAUAAGCUUUUUGAGACACAUGUUUUAGAAAGUAAAGGAGGCGCAAGCUUCCGCUUAUGGAUGGGCCCGCGUCUGAUUAGCUAGUUGGUAGGGUAGCGGCCUACCAAGGCAACGAUCAGUAGCCGGCCUGAGAGGGUGGACGGCCACACUGGGACUGAGAACGGCCCAGACUCCUACGGGAGGCAGCAGUGGGGAAUAUUGCGCAAUGGGGGAAACCCUGACGCAGCGACGCCGCGUGAGCGAAGAAGGCCUUCGGGUUGUAAAGCUCUGUUGUAAGGGACGAAAGAUCAAGGGAAUAACUGCCCUUGAAGUGACGGUACCUUACCAGCAAGCCCCGGCUAACUACGUGCCAGCAGCCGCGGUAAGACGUAGGGGGCGAGCGUUGUCUGGAAUUACUGGGCGUAAAGAGCACGUAGGCGGAUGUAUAAGUCAGGUGUGAAAGACCGCAGCCUAACUGCGGGGUUGCACUUGAAACUGUAUAUCUUGAGGGCAGGAGAGGUUAGUAGAAUUCCUGGUGUAGCGGUGAAAUGCGUAGAAAUCAGGAGGAAUACCAGUGGCGAAAG